rnacentral:rRNA from 1 species
GGCAGACGGGUGAGUAACAUGUAGGUAUCUGCCCUUUGGCCUGGAAUAACACGAGGAAACUUGUGCUAAUACCGGAUAAGUCUUUACGGAGAAAGCUUUAUGCACCAUUGGAUGAGCCUGCACUUGAUUAGUUUGUUGGUGGGGUAAUGGCCUACUAAGACUGUGAUCAAUAGCUGAUUUGAGAGGAUGAUCAGCCACAUUGGGACUGAGACACGGCCCAAACUCCUACGGGAGGCAGCAGUGGGGAAUCUUGCACAAUGGAGGAAACCCUGAUGCAGCGAUGCCGCGUGAGUGAAGAAGGCCCUUGGGUUGUAAAGCUCUAUCGUCGGGGAAGAAAAUGACUGUACCCGAAUAAGAAGGUCCGGCUAACUUCGUGCCAGCAGCCGCGGUAAUACGAAGGGACCUAGCGUAGUUCGGAAUUACUGGGCUUAAAGAGUUCGUAGGUGGUUGAAAAAGUUGGUGGUGAAAUCCCAGAGCUUAACUCUGGAACUGCCAUCAAAACUUUUCAGCUAGAGUAUGAUAGAGGAAAGCAGAAUUUCUAGUGUAGAGGUGAAAUUCGUAGAUAUUAGAAAGAAUACCAAUUGCGAAGGCAGCUUUCUGGAUCAUUACUGACACUGAGGAACGAAAGCAUGGGUAGCGAAGAGGAUUAGAUACCCUCGUAGUCCAUGCCGUANACGAUGUGUGUUAGACGUUGGAAAUUUAUUUUCAGUGUCGCAGCAAAAGCGAUAAACACAC